AUAGAGAAAAAUGGUAUAAGAGUUUUUUGCCUUUUAAUGAAGAAUUGUUUUUUGAAAAUGUCUCCCUAGUGGUGGUAAACAUGAAUAAUGGUACCAAGAAAGUGAUAAACAUGAAAAUUCUCCGGUUACAAAUGUUUUUUUCCCUCUUUAAAACUGAAGGUAAAAGUGGAUAGUGUAAAUAUGAAAAAUGGUAUUAUGAAUGUGAUAUUUUUGGUAAUUUUUCUUAAGUAUCUCAAUUAUUUUAGAAUAAUGAAAUUCAAUUCAAGUAAUUAAACAUAACAAUAACUCAAAUUUAUGAAUUUUACAGUAUACUUCAUUUAAAAAGAAUAUUAAAGGAAUAUUUUAAAAUAUCAGUCACUUUUUAUAAAAAUAAACUUUAAUUAUUAAUACAAUAUAUCCUUCAUUGAUAAAAUAUAAUAUUCAACUAGUUAAUACUUAUAUUAUUUUAUUAUAUGAUGCAUUAUGUUAAAGUUGAUGUUUUUACGAUUACAUGAUGAAUCAGUUGGAAAUUGCCAAACCCAAUUUGAACCAUUAUCAUUAGAAGUGUGCCUACAGUCUAUUGAAAAAAGCAUUCGCCUCAGAUCCCUGAUUAAUGUGACUUUAUUUAGGGCCUCAAAAAUUUAAAAGAAUUUCUGGUUUAGUGGUUUAAACUUAUUUUCUUUUUAAACAUUUCCAGAGAGUCAACUAAUUCACCUUCUAAAUUCAUGUAUUUUUCUAUAUUAAAUAUUCUGAAUUCAUGUAUUUUUUCUAUAUCAAAUAAUAUAGCAUAUUUACGUAAUAAACUUAUUUUUUUACAGUGUUAAAAGCGAUAUAUCGUAUUAAGAAAUUGUUUUCAAUACAAUUGUACAUAAGUUUAUUUUUAAAAUUUGCCUUAAGCGCCUAAAACCUUUCGUACGGCACUGAUUAUUAUUUAUGUGAACUAUCUGUUGAAGCAAGAACCAAUCGAUUUGAUUUUUAUAAGUGGUUUAUCCCCACCUAGUUGACACUUAAAACUACAACUUUUAGUUCAUAGUGUUAAGAAUUUGUUCAAAGUAUUCGUUAGAUCUUUGCAUUUUCAGUCUCUUCAUUUUAGCUUUUCUCCUCAAGUAAUACAUCUGUUUGCCAAAAACUCGGACAACACAUGAAAUGCAUGCAUUGAAGACCAAAUUGAUCAAAACAUAUGAAUUCACGAGUGAGUUAGACAUAUACAACACCAACAAACACAAAAGCAUAAGUCCUUCUAUCUCUCACUAAGAGUCGGCUAGAAAAUGAAGUAAAAAAAUAACUUAAUUUAAAUUAGUUGCACUGUUUCCAACCGAGCUAUGACGCGAUCAAUUGGUCUUAGACCACCUCCAUCGGGAGGUUCCUAACAGAAGUUUUAAAGAAAAGCAAAAAAAAUGAAAAAUGGACAAAAUUCAAAGAACCGAUGCUUAAUAUGGAGGUUUUGGAGUUGGCAAGGAACCUUACGUGUCAGCGGGUGAAUGGACUUUCCAUUUAUUUUUCUCUCUCUCUCUCUUUCGUCACAUCUUCUCUUUUCCACCUCCAGUAUCGAGAGCACGACAUCUUCUCUGGCGAUUUUGAUCUCCAUCUUCAUCAUCCAAUCUCGAUCACUCCGCUUCUCUGGCGAUUUCGAUCUUCAUCUUCCUCAUCCAAUCUCGAUCACUCCAUCUUCUCUGUCCGGAUUGAAAGACGAAUCUGUUUUGUCUGGAGGAGAUCAAUGACUCAAGACCAAUCGUUUUGGUCAGGAACGGAGAUGGGAUUGAUUCGACUGUGCUCCUCAAACGGAUAAAUCGGUUUUUUCUCAUUCUAUGACUCCUGGAGAAAUCAUUGCUGUGAGUUCCGCCAGUAUCAAAGGUGCCACAGCCUUUGAAGUUUCAGAACUAGAGGCGAUGGAAAUUGCUUCUUCCGAAGCUUCAUGUUCUCUUACCUUAAGCAUAUUUUGGAAUCACAAGAUCGUGGUGAAGUUGAUCGUGAGAUGUCUCUUCUCAUAUUAUAUCAUUUUUUUUCUUGCAGCUACGAAGAGCUGGUUAACAGAAAUAGAGAUCAGUCUGUCUCUGACUACAUUGUAAUGUUCUUCUGGUUUGUUACUGCUGGUGAAGUACGAACUCGUGCAGAGUUCUUCGAACCUUUUAUAACAUGAUUAUCAAACUCAACGGUUGAUCAGUGAACCGCUAUUAAGGGUGGUAGCGGGGAAACAAGUUAGCACCUGAGUUUGGUAGAAAUCAGUUUUCGAUGAUCAAAGGAAACGGAACCCUAAGUUUCAAAAUGAUUAACAAGUAAAACAAGAUAGCUAAAGUGAAUUUCGGUGAGCUAAACAAGGAAGCACAAGAAGAAAGAAAACAUAGAGUGGGGCUACCACAAACAUAAAAAGGAACUAAAGUGCGUACUAAGUGAAACCGGUAAGUGCACCAUUAGUGCUAAAAAAGGAAGCAAUUAUGAAGUGAUUCACUCUCAUCCAAGUUUGCGAUAAUGAUACAGUUCAUACAUAUAUAUAUAAAAUAUGGCUCAAUUUCAA